rnacentral:rRNA from 1 species
UACGGGGGGGGCAAGCGUUGUUCGGAAUUACUGGGCGUAAAGGGCUCGUAGGCGGCCAACUAAGUCAGACGUGAAAUCCCUCGGCUUAACCGGGGAACUGCGUCUGAUACUGGAUGGCUAGAGGUUGGGAGAGGGAUGCGGAAUUCCAGGUGUAGCGGUGAAAUGCGUAGAUAUCUGGAGGAACACCUGCGGCGAAGGCGGGUAGCUGGGCCAACACUGACGCUGAGACGCGAAAGCUAGGGGAGCAAACGGG